GUCCACGCCCUAAACGAUGCUCACUAGGUGUUGGGGGAAGCGAUUCCUUGGUACCGUAGCUAACGCGUGAAGUGAGCCGCCUGGGGGAGUACGGCCGCAAGGUUAAAAACUCAAAGGAAUUGACGGGGACCCGCACAAGCGGUGGAUGAUGUGGAUUAAUUCGAUGCAACGCGAACAACCUUACCUACCCUUGACAUGUCCGGAAGCCUGCUGAAAGGCGGGGGUGCUCGAAAGAGAACCGGAACACAGGUGCUGCAUGGCUGUCGU
rnacentral:rRNA from 1 species